GCCUACUUAACUCAGUGGUUAGAGGAUCGCUUUCAUACGGCGAUAGUCAUUGGUUCGAAUCCAAUAGUAGGUA
rnacentral:tRNA from 2 species